GAUCAUGGCUCAGGAUGAACGCUGGCGGCGUGCUUAACACAUGCAAGUCGAACGAGUAGUGAAGACGGAAACCUUCGGGCGGAAGACUUUAUUUCGAGUGGCGGACGGGUGAGUAACGCGUCGGUAACCUGCCUCAUACAGGGGGAUAACAGUUGGAAACGACUGUUAAUACCGCAUAAGACCACAGCACCGCAUGGUGCGGGGGUAAAAACUCCGGUGGUAUGAGAUGGACCCGCGUUCGAUUAGCCAGUUGGCGGGG
rnacentral:rRNA from 1 species